GGGCUGGUGAAGUGAUAAUCAUAACCACAAUAUGCUGAGAAGAAUCUAGAGACCUCCUUAGAAGCUGUGAAAUGAAAAGUUCAGUGAAGAAUCCAAAAUACAGGGACUAUGACAAGUAAGCCUGCAAAGAUUCUUGUUUAUGAGAGAGAGGACUGAGAUGACCAACUCUUUUGACACAGGCUGCCGAAAAACCACCUGUUGAUAAAUCCUUUGAAAAUGUAUCAGCCUGGUCUGGAUUCAAGUUGGUAACCUACAGGCAAAGACAUAUUAAGGCAAGCCAGGACCCUACAAAAAUAAUAACAUGGGGAUGUCCAUGGCUCCCUCCCCAUGUACCAACACCUUAGCAAAAUAUGACCUUAACUUGAUGGUGGGAGGGGACUCCCCUGCCCUCUCAAAAAAGAAGCAGCUACAGCAUGGGACCGCUCUCUCUCCUGAGGAGCAAAAGCAGAAGACCCUUCUUUGCAAGGAAGCAGCAAUGGCAGCAACAGUCACCUCCACCCAGUACUUGCUAACUGCUUAUGCCACUUUCAAUCACCUCAACAAGAAAGUAGAUACUAGCACUUCUUUUGUCUGCUGGGGUACACCUGCUU